GUGCGAGUGAGUGAGGCGGGUGGCGGCUUCGGGGGUGUUUGUUGGUGUUCUGUUUGGGGUCUUCUGGGCUUUGUGAAGUGAGUGGGGGCGAGUGAGUGAGUGAGAGCGCGGCGUGAAUGUCCCUGAGCUUGCGACGCUUUUCUUACACAUUGAUCUUAUUUGAUCGGGCUGGGAGGGCACCGCCUCCCCCCGGCCUGAAAUGAGAAAACGCCUUUGCUGUGAAGCCUUCGGGCGGUGUGCAGCGAAACUGGUUGCAGGCGGCGCUUAUCCGGAGAUGAUGAGUUGAUCAGAUAGAUGAGGCUGAAUGAUGGAGGGCGUGCCCCUUCCUCUUGGCCAGUGUGUACUGAGGCGAUUCUGAUCCGG